CAGUCGCCACGGUAAUACGGAGGGUGCAAGCGUUAAUCGGAAUUACUGGGCGUAAAGCGCACGCAGGCGGUCUGACAAGUCAGAUGUGAAAUCCCCGGGCUUAACCUGGGAACUGCAUUUGAAACUGUCAGGCUGGAGUCUUGUAGAGGGGGGUGGAAUUCCAGGUGUAGCGGUGAAAUGCGUAGAGAUCUGGAGGAAUACCGGUGGCGAAGGCGGCCCCCUGGACAAAGACUGACGCUCAGGUGCGAAAGCGUGGGGAGCAAACAGGAUUAGAGACCCCGGUAGUCCCUGUCUCUUAUAC
rnacentral:rRNA from 1 species